AUUGAACGCUAGCGGGAUGCCUUACACAUGCAAGUCGAACGGCAGCACGGACUUCGGUCUGGUGGCGAGUGGCGAACGGGUGAGUAGCGUAUCGGAACGUGCCCAGUGGCGGGGGAUAACUACGCGAAAGCGUCGCUCAUACCGCAAUCGCCCUAAGGGGGAAAGCGGGGGAUUGCCAGACCUCGCACUAUUGGAGCGGCCGACAUCGGAUUAGCUAGUUGGUGGGGUAAAGGCCUACCAAGGCGACGAUCCGUAGCGGGUUUGAGAGGACGGCCAGCCACACUGGGACUGAGACACGGCCCAGACUCCUACGGGAGGCAGCAGUGGGGAAUUUUGGACAAUGGGGGCAACCCUGAUCCAGCCAUUUCGCGUGUGCGAUGAAGGCCUUCGGGUUGUAAAGCACUUUUGGCAGGGAAGAAAGGGCUUAGGUUAAUAGCCUAGGUUGAUGACGGUACCUGCAGAAUAAGCACCGGCUAACUACGUGCCAGCCGCCGCAGUAA
rnacentral:rRNA from 1 species